rnacentral:ncRNA from 1 species
UUAAGUAGAGGUGCGUUGAUUAAUAGUAGUGCAUGGGAGACCGGAAGUCAGCGAUCAUGCAUGAAAGGAUGAUACGCCGAAGCAGAAGAGUCAAAUCAUCUGCUGGGGACAUGUUUAACAGACAUGUCACUGUCCUUUUUA